rnacentral:rRNA from 1 species
AGAGUUUGAUCCUGGCUCAGGAUGAACGCUAGCUACAGGCUUAACACAUGCAAGUCGAGGGGAAACGACAUCGAAAGCUUGCUUUUGAUGGGCGUCGACCGGCGCACGGGUGAGUAACGCGUAUCCAACCUGCCCAUCACUUGGGGAUAACCUUGCGAAAGUAAGACUAAUACCCAAUGACGUCUCUAGAAGACAUCUGAAAGAGAUUAAAGAUUUANCGGUGAUGGAUGGAGAUGCGUCUGAUUAGCUUGUUGGCGGGGUAACGGCCACCAAGGCGACGAUCAGUAGGGGUUCUGAGAGGAAGGUCCCCCACAUUGGAACUGAGACACGGUCCAAACUCCUACGGGAGGCA